rnacentral:rRNA from 1 species
UGGGGAAUAUUGGACAAUGGGCGCAAGCCUGAUCCAGCAAUGCCGCGUGGAUGAAGAAGGUCUUCGGAUUGUAAAGUCCUUUCGACGGGGACGAUGAUGACGGUACCCGUAGAAGAAGCCCCUGGCUAACUUCGUGCCAGCAGCCGCGGUAAUACGAAGGGGGCUAGCGUUACUCGGAAUUACUGGGCGUAAAGGGCGCGUAGGCGGCUCUACAAGUCAGGCGUGAAAUUCCCGGGCUCAACCUGGGGACUGCGCUUGAGACUGUGGGGCUAGAGGAUGGAAGAGGGUCGUGGAAUUCCCAGUGUAGAGGUGAAAUUCGCAGAUAUUGGGAAGAACACCGGUGGCGAAGGCGGCGACCUGGUCCAUUACUGACGCUGAGGCGCGACAGCGUGGGGAGCAAACAGGAUU